UUCGUCCAGGGGGCCGCCUUCGCCACCGGUAUUCCUCCAGAUCUCUACGCAUUUCACCGCUACACCUGGAAUUCUACCCCCCUCUACGAGACUCAAGCUUGCCAGUAUCAGAUGCAGUUCCCAGGUUGAGCCCGGGGAUUUCACAUCUGACUUAACAAACCGCCUGCGUGCGCUUUACGCCCAGUAAUUCCGAUUAACGCUUGCACCCUCCGUAUUACCGCGGCUGCUGGCACGGAGUUAGCCGGUGCUUCUUCUGCGGGUAACGUCAAUGAGCAAAGGUAUUAACUUUACUCCCUUCCUCCCCGCUGAAAGUACUUUACAACCCGAAGGCCUUCUUCAUACACGCGGCAUGGCUGCAUCAGGCUUGCGCCCAUUGUGCAAUAUUCCCCACUGCUGCCUCCCGUAGGAGUCUGGACCGUGUCUCAGUUCCAGUGUGGCUGGUCAUCCUCUCAGACCAGCUAGGGAUCGUCGCCUAGGUGAGCCGUUACCCCACCUACUAGCUAAUCCCAUCUGGGCACAUCCGAUGGCAAGAGGCCCGAAGGUCCCCCUCUUUGGUCUUGCGACGUUAUGCGGUAUUAGCUACCGUUUCCAGUAGUUAUCCCCCUCCAUCAGGCAGUUUCCCAGACAUUACUCACCCGUCCGCCACUCGUCAGCGAAGCAGCAAGCUGCUUCCUGUUACCGUUCGACUUGCAUGUGUUA
rnacentral:rRNA from 1 species